rnacentral:rRNA from 2 species
AAUCCAUAGGUUAAUGAGGCGAACCGGGGGAACUGAAACAUCUAAGUACCCCGAGGAAAAGAAAUCAACCGAGAUUCCCCCAGUAGCGGCGAGCGAACGGGGAGGAGCCCAGAGCCUGAAUCAGCAUGUGUGUUAGUGGAAGCGUCUGGAAAGGCGCGCGAUACAGGGUGACAGCCCCGUACACAAAAGCGCAUGUGCUGUGAGCUCGAUGAGUAGGGCGGGACACGUGGUAUCCUGUCUGAAUAUGGGGGGACCAUCCUCCAAGGCUAAAUACUCCUGACUGACCGAUAGUGAACCAGUACCGUGAGGGAAAGGCGAAAAGAACCCCGGCGAGGGGAGUGAAAAAGAACCUGAAACCGUGUACGUACAAGCAGUGGGAGCACCCUUUGG